AGAUUUGUACUUUCUUGGUGAUUUUUCAAACCCAAAAACAAAAGUGACAAGAUCUAUUCUUUCUAGCUUCAAAGUGUGUGUGUGUGAUUCAAAAUAAAAACACAAACACAUAGCCAAAAACCCCUUUUUGCCGUGCCCUCCCUAUGACUCAAAACCCCAAAAUUUGUUCUAAACUCAUUCUUCAUUCAUGCAUCCAAAACACUUUUUGCAUACAUAUCUUUCUCAACUAUUGAUUUACAUUUUUCAACAAUUGAAAAACAAAAGAUAAACAUACUUUGAAUGAAGCAAUAAUAUGUCAUACAUAAAAUUAAAACCAUUUGCAUAAAAUCCAAAAGGACACAUCAUACAUAAACCUUUGGCUCUGAUACCACUUGAAGGGAAAUUAUGAGAUUUCAUGUGGGAUUUCUAGUGACUAGCAUGCAUAUACAAUUCAAAAUUUAUAUACGAAAGCAACGGAAGCAUAUCAACAUAUAUUAUCAAAGCUAUAGUCAUGCAAAUC
rnacentral:lncRNA from 1 species